rnacentral:rRNA from 1 species
UGGGGAAUAUUGGACAAUGGGCGAAAGCCUGAUCCAGCAAUACCGAGUGAGUGAUGAAGGCCCUAGGGUUGUAAAGCUCUUUUAGCAAGGAAGAUAAUGACGUUACUUGCAGAAAAAGCCCCGGCUAACUCCGUGCCAGCAGCCGCGGUAAGACGGAGGGGGCUAGCGUUGUUCGGAAUUACUGGGCGUAAAGAGUGCGUAGGCGGCUUAGUAAGUUGGAAGUGAAAGCCCGGGGCUUAACCUCGGAAUUGCUUUCAAAACUACUAAUCUAGAGUGUAGUAGGGGAUGAUGGAAUUCCUAGUGUAGAGGUGAAAUUCUUAGAUAUUAGGAGGAACACCGGUGGCGAAGGCGGUCAUCUGGGCUACAACUGACGCUGAUGCACGAAAGCGUGGGGAGCAAACA